GGUUCAUCUUUCUGGUUCGUUGGCGCAGGUUCGUCGCGGUGGUUCGUCGGCACUGGUUCGCGGUGAUUCGUUCGCGGUGGUUCGUCGCGGUGAUUGUUGAUGUUCAUUGCUCUAUUGUGUGUCAGAUCUCAUGUCAGCAACGAAAAGUUUUCAGAUCUCAGGUUUUUAGGAUUUUAGUUGUUGUAUUUUGACAGAUUUGUUUUUUAGGAUUUUUAGAGCAUUUUUUUUGGAUUAACGAAUUGUUGCAUCAAUUCGUGUUGUAUUUCUACAUUUUUUUCAGAUCUGCACGCUUCUUUUCUCAAUUUUUUGUUGUUUAUUUUUCAUUUUGUACAUAUUUUGUCGAAUUUUCAGUUAAUUCUGUAUCUUCUCAACAUAUUUUUUAGCUUAUCAUUUUUAUAUAUUUUUUUUCGUUGUAUCUAUUCUGUUUUUUUUUCAGAUCAGUUUUUGGUGUGAGUAUACAUCUUGUUGUAUCUAUUCUGUUUUAGUUUCGUUUCUGUAUCUGUUUGUUGUGUUCAGUUCAACAAAUUUUAUUUUUUUUUGUUAAAAAAUCGCAAAUUUGCGUCGUUUAUUGAGCCUUAUGCGACGCAAAUGAUGAUUUUU